rnacentral:lncRNA from 1 species
UUUUAAUGUAUGGAAAGAAGAGCUUCUGGAGUGGAAGGAGAGCCUGUGACCAUGGCAUCCUCCUUCUCUUCCUCGGCAGCAUCAUGACAAUGGCUCAAGCACAGUCAGCACUUCUCACGGUCCAGGCACUGGGCUAAGCACUUUCCAUAAGCCCCACCACCAGUUAUGCAGGAAUGUGUGAAUUUGGGCGCCAGUGAAGAGAGGGGUUGACUUUGAGCCAGUUUUUACUGAGUGAUCCGAUGCUGGACACCCCUGCACUCUGACACUUGGACCUCUUCCUGAAGCAUCACCUGUGGGAAUGGCCUCCAGAUGUGCCAGAUACUGCAAUGAGCAUCUGCUGUGCCCCCCACAUGUGUUCUGGACAGGCUGGGGUCCUUGGGAAUAGUGCACAG